rnacentral:lncRNA from 1 species
AUAAAGUUGCUGACAAGCAGAAUAUGAAAUGUGGAUUAAAUGGGCCAGACUACUUGUUCUUUAGUGACCUCUGAAAAAAUUAAAUGAGCAGCAAUGUUAGGAAUUAAAUAGAUCUUUGUCCUUGUCUGCUGUCCAAAUGGACACUCUUAUUGAUUCUGCUUAGAUCUUCUUGUUUAAUGUUCCAAUUAUCUCCCUUUGCAGCUGCAUAAGAAUGAUAUAAGCUAUUUCUACACUUCUAAAUGCAUCCACCCAAGGGAAUGAUUCCUGGCUCCAAAGUGGUGCAGAUUGCAUCCACAUACCCUGUUUAAGGCUGGAUGUCCACAGAACAGCACUUCUUUGCAGCAGAGAGUUCUCUGCACCUCUUCCUGUGGGCAGAGAGCAUGAGUAGAUGGUCUGCACUCAACCUUGCUUAGAUCUCCUGGGCUGCUUUACUGUGUCACAUAACACAACAGUCUGGCCUUAGGUGAGUCCUAGAUUUACACCUAAAAGGAUUUUAUAUGCACACCCAU